GACGUAGGCAGCGAGCGUUGUUCGGAGUUACUGGGCGUAAAGGGUGUGUAGGCGGUUUGGUAAGUCUGGUGUGAAAUCUCCCGGCUCAACUGGGAGGGUGCGCCGGAAACUGCCGGACUAGAGUGCGGGAGAGGAGAGUGGAAUUCCUGGUGUAGCGGUGAAAUGCGUAGAUAUCAGGAGGAACACCGGUGGUGUAGACGGCUCUCUGGACCGUAACUGACGCUGAGACACGAAAAGCGUGGGUAGCAAACAGG
rnacentral:rRNA from 1 species